GUGCUCUCUUCGGCAUCACAUAUACUGAAAUUGGAACGAUACAGAGAAGAUUAGCAUGACCCCUGCACAAGGAUGACGUGCAAAUUCAUGAAGCGUUCCAUAUUUUU
rnacentral:snRNA from 1 species